rnacentral:rRNA from 1 species
UACAGAGGGUGCGAGCGUUGAUCGGAGUUACUGGGCGUGAAGGGCGCGUAGGCGGUUAUGUGAGUGUGAUGUGAAAGCCCCGGGCUUAGCCUGGGAAUGUCGUCUUAAACUGCAUGACUGGAGUACUGUAGAGGGUAGUGGAAUUUCCGGUGUAGCGGUGAAAUGCGUAGAGAUCGGAAGGAACACCAGUGGCGAAGGCGGCUACCUAGACAGAUACUGACACUGAGGCGCGAAAGCGUGGGGAGCAAACAGG